rnacentral:rRNA from 1 species
UAGGGAAUUUUCGUCAAUGGGCGCAAGCCUGAACGAGCGAUGCCGCGUGAGUGAAGAAGGCUUCGGGUCGUAAAGCUCUGUUGCGGGGGAAAAAAGGCAGCAUCAGGAAAUGGGUGCUGACUGAUGGUGCCCCGCCAGAAAGUCACGGCUAACUACGUGCC